UAGAGAGAGAGAGAGAGAGAGAGAGAGAGAGGGGAGAGGGUAGCUAGAAUGAUCUUGUUGAUAGAGAGCUAGUAGUUCUACUCGUAUGAACAGAGAGAGGGAGAAAUGAUAAUGAGUGUAAUGGAGUAGAGUAGCUGCUGAGGAUGAGCUUCAACUUCUGCAUUUAAAAUCAAAAAUUAUUAUGGCAGGCAAAAAGGAGACCUCUCCUGACCUUUGGUGGGGGCGCGUAUAAGCACAAUGACAAAUUCCCUAAAGCAACAAGUACCCCAUCCCCUUCAUGCUACGUACAAUUUGGG
rnacentral:lncRNA from 1 species